rnacentral:lncRNA from 1 species
UAAAUAGCUAGGAAGGAAAUGUUUUUAAUAUUUUAGAAUUGUAUUCUGAAACUGUGAAGUUUAGACCCCAAACAUGUCAAUCUAAUUUUGGGAAAAAUACUUUGAUAAAAGUAAUUUCUACUUAUAUGUGAUUAAGGCAUUUUUUUUUCUCUUCUCUGAUGUAGUUCUGUUGUUUACCCUCUAAUUUGAUGAAACUGAAGGAGUAGGAAAAAAGAAAGUGGUAAUUCAAAACCAUUACUCGCUAUAGUUGACAUUGACUGAAUGACUACGUGUCCAAUGGAUGAAGAAAAGACAUCCUAUUCUCCAUCAGUAGAGCUACAUCCAAGGAUCCA